GUGGUCAAAGGUGGUCAAAGCUGGUCAAACGCAGUCAACUGUUGGUCAACGCAGUCAACUCAGUCAACACGACGCUCGGAAUGUCGUUGCAUUUCUAAGACAAGGCACGGUUGGAAUACGAGAACCACGUGGAGUCGAGUACUUAGUGGGCGUUCGUUUCCUAGAAGUCUUAGCUUAUUUUGCUUCCGCUGUGCAACGAAGAUACCAGUCCAGUCACGCCAGCUCUGAUAAUUUC
rnacentral:lncRNA from 1 species